GGGGAUUUAGCUCAGCGGUAGAGCGCUUGCCUAGUGAGCGCGAGGCCCUGGGUUCGGUCCCCAGCUCCG
rfam:Rattus norvegicus chromosome 12, whole genome shotgun sequence.